CCUACGGGAGGCAGCAGUGGGGAAUAUUGCACAAUGGGGGAAACCCUGAUGCAGCGACGCCGCGUGAGUGAAGAAGUAUUUCGGUACGUAAAGCUCUAUCAGCAGGGAAGAAAAUGACGGUACCUGACUAAGAAGCCCCGGCUAACUACGUGCCAGCAGCCGCGGUAAUACGUAGGGGGUAAGCGUUAUCCGGAUUUACUGGGUGUAAAGGGAGCGUAGACGGCAGCGCAAGUCUGGAGUGAAAUCCCAUGGCUUAACCAUGGAACUGCUUUGGAAACUGUGCAGCUAGAGUGCAGGAGAGGUAAGCGGAAUUCCUAGUGUAGCGGUGAAAUGCGUAGAUAUUAGGAGGAACACCAGUGGCGAAGGCGGCUUACUGGACUGUAACUGACGUUGAGGCUCGAAAGCGUGGGGAGCAAACAGGAUUAGAUACCCGAGUAGUC
rnacentral:rRNA from 1 species